GGGAAGCCGGUCGAAUUCCGGCGCUGACCCGCAACCGUAGGCCCGGGCUCGUCCCGGGUGAGCCGGAAUGCC
rnacentral:ncRNA from 1 species